rnacentral:rRNA from 1 species
UACGGAGGAUGCGAGCGUUAUCCGGAUUUAUUGGGUUUAAAGGGUGCGCAGGCGGUCUGUUAAGUCAGCGGUCAAAGCCCGGGGCUCAACCCCGGCCCGCCGUUGAAACUGGCAGUCUCGAGUUGGAGAGAAGUAUGCGGAAUGCGCGGUGUAGCGGUGAGAUGCAUAGAUAUCGCGCAGAACUCCGAUUGCGAAGGCAGCAUGCCGGCUCCACACUGACGCUGAGGCACGAAAGCGUGGGUAUCGAACAGG